GGAACAGAAGUUAAUUACUGCCCUUCCUUGCUGACUGCUUAGCAAUUUCUACCUCAAUUGGAUGGAAUCACUGACUCAAUGGACAUGAGUUUGAGCAAGCUCCAGGAGAUGGUGAGGGAUAGGAGACCGGGUGUGCACAGUCCAUGGGGUCACAAAGAGUCAGCUGAGUGACUGAACAACAACAAUGGACUGACUGCUUGUGUCUAUCUGAAAUUCAGCUUUUAACUGCAAAAUGCACAGGACUUCAGCUACAUUCUGGUCCAAUCAAUUUUUGUCCACCAUCCAAGAAGCCUUACAGACAUUGUUUCUAUGGGAAAAUGUAUAUUGAGUUCCAGCUACUCAGUUCAAAAGAAGUCUUGGAACAUUGCCCAGGUGGAGAAUGCCACCCAGGUAGUGGCUGAAAUGAGCACGCCGCAAUUGUCAAACCCUUCAAACACACAGAGGGAGACCAACCAGCCCAUUAAAAGCCAGAGUUGCUCAGACUGGGGCUGGAGGGCCAAAGUAUUGUUCUCGUCAAUUUCUCCCCAACAAAUAAAUGCAGUAACACGCAUUCCAAGACAAGGGA